GAUGAACGCUGGCGGCGUGCCGAAUACAUGCAAGUCGAGCGAAUGGAUUAAGAGCUUGCUCUUAUGAAGUUAGCGGCGGACGGGUGAGUAACACGUGGGUAACCUGCCCAUAAGACUGGGAUAACUCCGGGAAACCGGGGCUAAUACCGGAUAACAUUUUGAACCGCAUGGUUCGAAAUUGAAAGGCGGCUUCGGCUGUCACUUAUGGAUGUACCCGCGUCGCAUUAGCUAGUUGGUGAGGUAACGGCUAACCAAGGCAACGAUGCGUAGCCGACCUGAGAGGGUGAUCGGCCACACUGGGACUGAGACACGGCCCAGACUCCUACGGGAGGCAGCAGUAGGGAAUCUUCCGCAAUGGACGAAAGUCUGACGGAGCAACGCCGCGUGAGUGAUGAAGGCUUUCGGGUCGUAAAACUCUGUUGUUAGGGAAGAACAAGUGCUAGUUGAAUAAGCUGGCACCUUGACGGUACCUAACCAGAAAGCCACGGCUAACUACGUGCCAGCAGCCGCAGUAA
rnacentral:rRNA from 1 species